AUAAAUCAAAAAUUUCCACUUUGAGAGUGUUAUUCCACUGUUUUUCUAAAAAUACUUCCAUAUCUUUAAAUGGCUUUUAUCUUUUUGUUUCUUUCAUUUUCAAAAAAAGAUUGAUUAUUCUUCCCCCUUGAUCAAAGUAAAUAAUUACUUUCAACCUUCAUGUCUUAAAUUAGAAAUAAAAACAACCUGACAAAAUAAUUAAACUGAUUUGUUCUAAUCAAUUUUUCUCAAUUAUUUAUUAUCUAAUAUCAAAUAAUACAUUAAUAAGGAACAAAGAUAUAUAAAAAUAUUUUUUGUAAUGAUCUUAAAUCACUAAACAGAGGUUUAUAUUGCAAUAUAAUUAUUCUAAUUAUAACAUAAAUUCUCUAAGAUGUCCUAGUACUUUAACAGUUUUUCCAACAGAUAUUUGAUCGAAAUUCUGAGGUUCUAGUCUAAAAACUAGAUUCUUAUACUUUAUUCGAUAUUUUAAAAUAUUUGAAUAAUGGUAAUUGGGGGCGUAAAGUUUUUGUUUUAUAGUUUACCCGGUAGAUGGCAAUACAGUCGAAUUUUAAAUAUAGUUCAGUAAUUUUACAGCAGAUGUCGCCACGGUCGGUAUAGAGUACAGAUAUUUACACACAGAUGGCACCACUAGUCUUUAGUUAUAUAAUCCAACUACCACUUCAUAGAUGGCGCCAGUAGUUUUAAAGAUUGUAUUAGGGUUCUUAAUAUAUAGAUGGCGCCACACGUUUGUAAUAAAUUUUUGUUAAAGCUUUUACCAAAUAGAUGGCGCCACAAGCUGUGUUAAUAAAUUAGUUCCAAAAUUCCCCACGAAAAAAUUGUAGAGGUCGCUGAACGCAAUUUUUUUGACGUUCAUUUGUUUUUUUAACCUACUUGUUUUUUAUUUAUUUACCUUUUUACUUUUUAUAUUAAAUUAAUUAAUAUCUUUUGUUAGCCUCAUAAAAUUUAAACCGAACGUUGAUAUUUUGCGGAAUAUAGAUUCAGAGAAAUGUAUAACAAUAAAUUAACUUAGUUAUAUAACACAGUUUUACUUUGAUUUUAAUGGAAGAAUUUGAGAAUAAAGCUCUCCAACGAAGGACAAAGGCAGUGAUAUCAGAAUUGAAUGGAUGGCAAGCGAUUCCAAGUCUUUUACAAGGUGUUGAGCAAUAAUGGUACUAAACAUUUAAGAAACAUUGGUAUCCAUAUCUUGAAGUAUGACCCAUUAAUUGAAGAUAUUUUAUUAUCAACAUCUUCUUUGGGUAUGGAUAGCUGGAAUUUGUGUUCAAUGCCAGAGUCAAAGCCUUAUAAGUUGGUGCAAAUGGCUUGAAAUUUGCAUUAAAUAGAGUUAUAGCAGUGCCGAUUUAAAGGAAUCCAUGAUUAAUGCAACUAAAGGCAGUAUGAGUAACCUUCAUCGAAAUUCGUACUUUACUUUGCAUCAUACUUCUUUGGAUUGUCUUGAAUAAACUGGUCAUCAGAAUUACACAAAUAUGUUGCCGACUGCAGAAUUUCUUACCAGAGAAGAUGUAUUAGAGAAGAUUUCUAAGAACAUAGAGAGAAUUAUAUGGAUACAGAACUUCUGGUUACUCUGCAGCGAAGAAGGACAGCUCACACACAACUUCAGGCUUGUACAGGAGCUACACGACAGAUCAGUCUACUUCGAUAGAAUAGACAGCGUCUACAGCCAGAAUCUCAGCACAAUAUAUAAUACCUAGUUAUUGUGUUUCUAUGUGAUAAAAUAUUUAAUAUAAUUUAAGACUAAUAAUAUUGUGAAAUAAUAAAGGACUAUUUAUUUUUAA
rnacentral:lncRNA from 1 species